rnacentral:rRNA from 1 species
ACGUUGGCGGCACGCCUUAAAAUGCAAGUCGAACGAGAAAGCUCUCUCGGGAGCGAGUAAAGUGGCGGACGGGUGAGGAACGCGUAGGAAUCUGCCUAGUAGUGGGGGAUAACUCGGGGAAACUCGAGCUAAUACCGCAUACACUCUGAGGAGAAAAGCGGGGGACCUUUGGGCCUCGCGCUAUUAGAGGAGCCUGCGUUAGAUUAGUUUGUUGGUGAGGUAAUGGCUCACCAAGACUACGAUCUAUAGCUGGUCUGAGAGGACGAUCAGCCACACUGGAACUGAGACACGGUCCAGACUUCUACGGAAGGCAGCAGUUAGGAAUAUUGCGCAAUGGGCGAAAGCCUGACGCAGCGAUGCCGCGUGUGUGAAGAAGGCUCUAGGGUUGUAAAGCACUUUCAGUCGUGAAGAAAUUUAUUUUGUUAAUACCUUAAUGAUUUGACGUUAACGACAGAAGAAGUAC